rnacentral:rRNA from 1 species
AUGAUGCUGGGAGGGAUGGCCGACGUGGCUAAGACAUAUGAAAGCGGAGAUGGGUCCGUCACUACAAAUGACAGGGGUGCUGUGGAGGGCGAUGAUGGAUGGCAGGCGAUCGAGGAUGACGGGUCAAACCUGCUGGUUACUGUAUGUACAUCUAUCCAUGGUGCAUCAGUGCGAGACGCAACCAGCAUACACCAUGGGAGCAGUCUUGUCGUCCAACUCCUACCCCGCCGUCCUCGACGCCGCCAGCUGGCUCCAGACGUCGUGGCCGACUACUACUGGCACCACCUCUUGCUCGCCAUCAUAGCGCUCGGGGUCUUGUAUGCAUGCCUCUCUCGACGAAACCAGCCAGCCUUGCGAGCGGUCUGGCCGUCGUCCUACGCCGCCGUCGUCCACGCAUCGACCAAGAACCACACGCAGAAACGGAGUUCAAACGUCGCUCCAGAUGCCGCCGUCAAAGACGACGACUACUGGUCUGGCCUGCCAGACGACCUCCUGUUCACCAUCAUGGCGUCGCUGGACGUCCCCAGCCUCCGGCGUGCCGGCGCCGUGUGCACAUCCUGGCGCGCCGCCCACGACGCCUUCCGCCUCCCCGCGCUGGAGCGAGCGCCGUGCCUGCUCUACGCAUGCGAGGAGUACGGACCCAACGAGGCCGCCCUCUACUGCCCAUCCACCCGCGCCACCUUCCGGGUCCCAUUCCCCGGGCCGCCGCACGAGAAGAGGGGCUUCACCUUCGCGUGCCACGGCGGCUGGGUGUUCACCGCUGAUGAGGUCGGCGACCCCUACCUGCUCAACCCCGUCACCGGCGCCCGGGCCAUGCUCCCUCCGGUCAAAACAAUCUAUCACAACGACGAAUUCUACGACGACGAUGGCAGGUGUGUCUGGCCUGCUGAACCCGAGUACGGAAUCAUGAAACCCACCAUUAGCUGGGCGCGACACUCAGAGUAUCUUCGGGUCGCCAUCUCCGCCGCCGCCGACGUGACGGAAUGCACCGUCGUGAUCUUGCACAUGCCGGAGUGGAGGCUCUCCUUUGCCAGGCCGGGAGACGACCGUUGGACACUGGUCUCCAAGCAAACAAGCUUCUUGAGCGAUAUUUUUUACAAUGACAAGAAUGGCUUGUUCUACAUUCUUGGCUUGGACGAUUGCUCUGUUAGUACUUUAGAUCUAAGUGGGCCCUCACCGUCUGUGAACAAGAGCAUGCGCGGUGUGGCACAAGAUUCAUGCGAUUUUCUUACCAAGUAUCUCACUCUUGGGCCAUCCGGCGAACCCUUGGAGGUCUGGAGGAACUGGAGUCACACAAAUACCCCACUCAAAGAUCGCCAGACUUAUCAUGACAUUGUGAACAAACUGUUUCAAGAUUGCGUAGAUCUCGCCAACGAAGAUGGCAACAACAAUAAGCCAAGUGAUUAUCUAGGGAUAGAUGACCACCAAGAACUCGAACCAUAUGAAGCCAAUGAAAAUGACCAAGAGAUUGAUGCGUCGGAACUGCUUCGCGAGGGCAUUGACUUGCCACAUCGACUUGUCGACGAGGUCAUCACGGAGGACAUCCUAGUCUUCAAGGUUGACGUCGAUAGACAGAAGCUGGUGGAGCUAAGGGACAUUGGGGACCACACGCUCUUCGUGGGGCUUAACUCUGUUGUUUGCCUUCCGACCAAGGACUUUCCAGCUUUCGAGCCAAAUUGCGCCUACCUCACGGACGACUGUUUCGACUACAGCCCAAUGUUACGGAAGGACAUUGGCAUCUGGAACAUCAAGAAUAGGAGUAUGCAAAAACUUAGCGAUGCUUGGCCAAACAUGUAUCCUUGGCUACAUUUACCGGCUCCAGUUUGGAUCACGCCAAGGUUUUAG